UUGACAUGACAAAGCAUAUCAGAGUUUAUGAUAACACCAGCCAAUAUCUGACAAUACACAACCGUGACAUGGAAAUUCUGAAAGAUGCUUUAAGAAAUAUUGCAUCCUUGGACGAUUGGACUGUGUCUAGUCCACAGCAAUGGCAGAGAGACAAUGGAAGGAACUGUGGUGUUUUCGUAUGCACAAUGGCAGAGAUGGAAGCUAAAAGUUUUAAAAUGUGCCAGGAAAUUCUGCACACUGAACAGAUGGGAUCCCUUCGUCUUUACCAUGCCUCAUGCAUGGUGAAACAUCUGCAACCAGAGGACUUUUCACCCGAAGUCAAAAUAGUCCAGAGUGCAACACAGACCAGCUGUAUGGCCCAGGAUGUACUGUAGGAGUUUGC